GCUAGUCGAGCGCUCUCAGCCAUGAUGAGAGCGCGGUGCACAGCUCAGUAACGCGUGGCUAACCUGCCCUUGGGACAGGGACAACCCCGGGAAACUGGGGCUAAUACCUGAUAGGCGAAGAAUCCUGGAAUGAAUCUCCACCCAAAAGGCGCUUAAAUCAUGCAUUAGGCGUUGCCCAAGGAUGGGGCCGCGUCCGAUCAGGUUGUUGGUGAGGUAAUGGCCCACCAAGCCUAUAACCGGUGCGGGCCGUGAGAGCGGGAGCCCGGAGAUGGGCACUGAGACAAGGGCCCAGGCCCUACGGGGCGCAGCAGUCGCGAAAACUUUGCAAUACACGAAAGUGUGACAGGGCCAUCCCGAGUGCCAUCCGCUGAGGAUGGCUUUUACCCAGUCUAGAAAGCUGGGAGAAUAAGGAGAGGGCAAGACUGGUGUCAGCCGCCGCGGUAAUACCAGCUCUCCGAGUGGUGUGGAUGUUUAUUGGGCCUAAAGCAUUCGUAGCCGGCUGGGCAAGUCCUCUGUUAAAUCCACCGAUUCAAUCGUUGGAUUGCGGGGGAUACUGUUCGGCUAGGGGACGAGAGAGGCCGACGGUAUUUCCGGGGUAGGGGUGAAAUCCUAUAAUCCUGGGAAGACCACCAGUGGCGAAGGCUGUCGGCUAGAGCGUGCUCGACGGUGAGGGAUGAAAGCUGGGGUAGCGAACCGGAUUAGAUACCCGGGUAGUCCCAGCUGUAAACGAUGCAGGCUAGGUGUUUGGGCGGCCACGUGCCGCUCUAGUGCCGCAGGGAAGCUGUUAAGCCUGCCGCCUGGGGAGUACGGCCGCA
rnacentral:rRNA from 1 species